rnacentral:rRNA from 1 species
AGUAACGCGUGAGCAACCUGCCUAUGACAGUGGGAUAGCCUCGGGAAACCGGGAUUAAUACCGCAUGAAAUCGUAGAAACACAUGUUUUAACGGUCAAAGAUUUAUCGGUCAUAGAUGGGCUCGCGUCUGAUUAGCUAGUUGGUGAGAUAACAGCCCACCAAGGCGACGAUCAGUAGCCGGUCUGAGAGGAUGAACGGCCACAUUGGAACUGAGACACGGUCCAA